GGCUUUAUGGUGAAACUGGAUAUCACGUUUGACUUCUAAUCUUAAAUUUCGGGUUCGAGUCCUGAUAAAGCCUCCA
rnacentral:tRNA from 1 species